UACGGAGGAUGCGAGCGUUAUCCGGAUUUAUUGGGUUUAAAGGGUGCGUAGGCGGCCGAGUAAGUCAGCGGUGAAAUUUUGCAGCUUAACUGUAACAGUGCCGUUGAUACUGCAUGGCUAGGAUUUGGUUGCUGUGGGUGGAAUGUGUGGUGUAGCGGUGAAAUGCUUAGAUAUCACACAGAAUAUCAAUUGCGAAGGCAGCUCACAAAGCCAAGAUUGACGCUGAGGCACGUAAGUGUGGGGAGUCAAA
rnacentral:rRNA from 1 species